AAUCCUACGGGGCGCAGCAGUGAGGAAUAUUGGUCAAUGGGCGGAAGCCUGAACCAGCCAAGUCGCGUGAGGGAAUAAGGCCCUACGGGUCGUAAACCUCUUUUGCCGGGGAGCAAGGGCGGGGACGUGUCCCGGCCCGGAGAGUACCCGGAGAAAAAGCAUCGGCUAACUCCGUGCCAGCAGCCGCGGUAAUACGGAGGAUGCGAGCGUUAUCCGGAUUUAUUGGGUUUAAAGGGUGCGCAGGCGGCCUGUUAAGCCAGCGGUAAAAGCCCGGGGCUCAACCCCGGCGAGCCGUUGAAACAGGG
rnacentral:rRNA from 1 species